GCCAAUACAGUGUUCCAGUAAUAUCUGAAACCGAAGACAGCUGCCUCAUCAAAGCAUUGAUGGGGGCAUCAGAUCAUUACCGUAAGAAUAGCGGGCUCCGCGAAUGGGCGUGCCUGGACCAGUGCUAAUGAGCUGAGACAGAAAACUUUACCUCUUGUAUGCUGCCGUCUGACAGAGAUAACUGUAUGGCCAACACCUCUGUGGAGAGUUGCCAGUCAACCAAAAUGACUCAUCACCUACUCUGUGAUGGCUUAUAUGAAGCAUCAGUUUGUUCACAAUGCAUUCGUCCUCUCUUAUCAUUGAUGCAUUCCUUCCAUUGAGAAGCCCCAUUUAGUACCUUGCACACUUUUGACCUGCUGAACUGAUAGAGUCACACUCUAUAAUGACUGAAAUAAAUAUGCACACAUGCUAACACACCCACAAGUUAUUUCACAGUAAUCAUGCUGAAAUAUCUUAUGUUUAUCUUUCCAUGGGACAGCUGUAUACAUAAGGCUUCCUGAUAAAUUACCAUUUGAGAGGGACAAAAAUAGACCACUUCAUGACAAGAACAGAGAGAGCCCGGAAGGAAGAGAGAAGAAAUACGUGAUAAAUGACUGGACUCUCAGUAACAUCUCAAACAUGGGAGAGGGGAGGUAGAGAAAGGUGGACAGCAGACAGUGAGCAUUUGUGUCAGCACUGUCAUGCCAUGACGGCACCUGAAAGUAUCAAGGAAGACACUGUGAUGUAUCAGGAUCAAGGCUGAUUACGUCUGGCUGUUGAGGGGCAGAAGUAGUUUUCCAUCGAAAGUCACCUGGAAGAGAUUGAGUGUAUUUCCCUCUCUCUCUCUCUCUCUCUCUCUCUCCCUCACUCUCUACAAUAAGAGAACCUGUUUUUAAGACAGGAAUUUAUUCUCACUGGGCAGACAAGUCACUGGUGUCUUAGAGCAUUGUAAAAUGUGGAGGAGUACAACUUCAUGGACGAUUAUGUCAUACAGGGACUCAGAGACAAACAUGCUGUAUGUAGUAGUUUAGAGUUUGUUUUAAUUUGUGUCUGUGCUUGCUUUAUUUUCGGAACUUUUUAGAUACCAUUAGGUUGAAUGAUGCAGACAGACUUAACUCUCAAUGCAUAAGAUUUGGUGCAAAACUGUGACAUAAAUGUUCACUGAUGCAAACAACAUCGGUGUAACUAACAGUGUUUGUUUCAUAAAAUGCAUGUGCACAUUCAAGUAUCACACACAAACCCAUUCAAAAAAAUCCACUUUCAGACAUCUUGCCAUUUGCAAAAUAUGAGGCACAGUGAUAAUUUGGUGUCUGUUUUCUGUUAUGAGGAUAUGGGGGUUCUGUAAGGUCACACAGGACAAACUCUUUUUUAACUCUUUUAACUACUUCAGAGAAAGUACAGACAACAUUUGAGUCUUGAAUCAAAACAUCCAACCCCAAAUUUCACCAGAAAUUCCUGCUAAUUCAGACCCAGCUUUCAGGCAUUCCACACAGUGCAGAAAUGACAAAUGAAACUGGUCCACUCCUUAAAGUGAUUGUCAACAACUCCAUCUGUGUCUCUCAGACUGACCUUUAAUUAGAGAGUUAAAUAAGGGUUAAAAUGUCAGUUGAGGAGGGUUUGAAAUGAGAAGUAUCACACUGAAAAGAAAGGAAUGUCCCACUCAUAGACAAGUGCCCUGUAAAAUUGUCCAGGAGAGGACGAUGUAUGCUACAAGGUGAAUUUCUGUACUGCUGGAAAAAUCCCAGAGGCACAAGGAGUUUAUGAGCCUCUAAGUAACCUUGAAACAAGAGCAAGACCUCCAGAGAGCAUGUCUAUGAUAUUUAACUUGUACAAGUCACCAAUUAAAAACUAAUCAUUAACACCAAUAGGCUGAUAAAAGUGAAUUUUCUCUAACUGGUUUUGUGUCGAAAUACAAAAAGCUGUAGAUAGAAAAGCAAGAAAGACAGAUAUGUGUAUGAUAGAUAGAUAGACACAGACAGAUGAUAGAUAGAUAGAUAGAUAGAUAGAUAGAUAGAUAGAUAGACAGACAAUAGAAUAAGAGGGAUGAGUUUAGUUUAAAACCAUGCUGUGAAAAUGGAGAUGCUGUCUUUCCAUGGGCCCAUUGCCAAAGCAUAGGAUUAGUAACACCCUGAAAUCCCCCCUCCUCAUUCCAUUACGCACGCCAGUCAUGGACUCCCAUGCAGGCCAUGAGAGUGGAAUUGUGAUGGUGAAAUAAAUGUUCUCAAAACCACUCAUUUGGAAACAGCCUAUAGAUAUGCAAAGCUCUAUCCGAGGCCAAAAUCAACUAACUUUAUGCAUUCUUGUCCUCAGCAUUUGUUCCCUGUAAAGGCCUGUUAACAGACUGCAAUAAAAUUAUAGUACACUAUUCACAGAAAGUAACUUUGUAUUCAAGGAGAAAGUAAUUCCUAGAGACGUAGAGAAUUAUAUAUUUCCCCAGUGUAUCCAAGCAUCCCUGCUGAUAAUGAUGUAAAGAAUUCUGUACAGAUUUCUUAGAAAUGGUAUGUUCACCUGUAGCCCUGCCUACUCUUGUGAGUGCACAUGUACCUUGCAGUGCAAACUUUUUCUAAAAGUCAGUGAACGCCUUAGUUUUGUCAAGGUCUUAUUUUGAUAGUUCACCCAAAAAUGAAAAUUCUCUCAUCAUUUACUCACCCAUGCCAUCCCAGAUGUGUAUGAUUUUCUUUCUUCUGCAGAACACAAACGAAGAUUUUAAGAAGAAUAUUUUGGCACUGUAGCUCCAUACAAUGCAAUGAUUAUUUACUCACCCUAAUGUUGCACCCAACCUGGAUGUUUUUUUCUUCUUCCGUGGAACACAAAUGUAAUUUAAAAAAAAGUCUUCACAGGGAUUAUUUGCCAUAAUUUAAGUUACAGUAAUAGUGACUCCAGUCUGUCAAGCUCAAAAAGUGACAAAAAAAAAAAAAAACCUAGAUGGAUUUAAAACAUGAUUUAAAAUGUACCUUAACAUUUCAAAUAAUUUAAAAAUGGAGUAAGAACAGAAAGGAGGAAAGAUUAUGGAGAAAAGACAAGAGGAAAGGGGAACAUGCCACAACAUUGAUUGACUUUUUGUGUCCAUUUCAGUUUGACCUUGAAAUAGAGGUCACUGUCUGUGUGGCUGUAUUCUUAUGUACUCAGCAUGUACCCUUGUUUUGUUGUGUGAAAUGAAAUGAAAACGUGACGACAGCUUGAAAAUUAAACAUUAUUAGACAGGAUUCUGGCUUUCACCUUUCCUGUACCACUGACUUGUCUUGUGACUGGACACAAAGAACAAUGGAGUAAGGAGGUGAGCAGAGGAAGGAGACAUGACAGAAAGGAGGAAAGAGGAGGGAAUAAGGAGGCGUGGCGUUUAUAAGGUCAGCAGAAUCAGGUUUCCUGUCCUGGGUUAUUAUCAUUAAUGUGGGAAUUGAAAUCUGCUCAAUAACCAUUGACACAACUGACUCAGACGUACAGCUUGCUCCCACUAUUAACCACAGAGGUUACUGAAUAGGUCACAAUUAUGUUUCGAAAUGUUGAUUCCCAGGGCCUAGUGUAUUCCAAUAAUGCUAUAUUUGUUAUUUUGAGUGAAACAUUAUCAUUAGAGAUUAUUGUCAAAGCUUCGGGGUGGAAGCCACUUACACUUCAGAAGUCUCCAUUGUUGGUUUAAGUGUUCACACAUUGAAGUGGUUAGGGGUGUAGUAUUUUUAAUAGGUAACCUAGCCCCUCAGAGUUGUAAGAGGAGAUAUACUGUUGCAGAAAGAAGGAGAUAGAGGUAUUUACACUGACCUAUACAACAGUAGGAACCUGGAAAAGGUCCUGUUUUCUAUUCAGCCAUUUAGAUGUUCUUUUUUUGGCUUGCUGAACAACAGUGAGAGUAGA